GAUGAACGCUAGCGGGAGGCUUAACACAUGCAAGUCGAGGGGCAGCAUUGGUACUUGUACCAGAUAGCGACCGGCGAACGGGUGCGUAACGCGUGGGAAUAUACCCAGUUCUACGGAAUAGCCUCGGGAAACUGAGAGCAAUACCGUAUACGCCCUUCGGGGGAAAGAUUUAUCGGAAUUGGAUUAGCCCGCGUUAGAUUAGGUAGUUGGUGGGGUAAUGGCCUACCAAGCCUACGAUCUAUAGCUGGUUUGAGAGGAUGAUCAGCAACACUGGGACUGAGACACGGCCCAG
rnacentral:rRNA from 1 species